GCCAGGAGGCUGACACAGGGGUGGAGUCCUGCCUCGCGCCUACCCUGCCUCUGAGGGUCUUGCCCUUCCCGUUUCCUAAUUCCCUUUAGGAAACCAAGGCCUUGGUGUCGCAGGAAACGGGAAGAAAGAGAAACUCGUUUACCCUGGAGCUACCUGUUGGAGCUGGAUCCAGGCUCCCCCACCUGAGCAGCCUGAGGAUGGUCUCUCUGGCAUGGUGGACGCAGGCCCCUUGAGUUGUUACCCUGGGUUCCUAACCAGGAGGCAGAAGUGGGAGCUGAGGGAUCCUUAGCGCCUGGUCCUGCACAUGGAGAAACGUCAGUUUUGGUAAAUUCUGUUCGUUACCGUCAUCCCGAGACUAAAGCUCAAGGAGACAAGGCACAGACCCCGUAAUAAGCAUGGCAGGCAACCGUGAGUGCGCAGAUUUUUUGAGUCAAGUCUUACUGUGUAACCCUGGCUUGCCUGGAAUUUACCAAAUAAACCAGGCUGGCCUUGAACUCACAGAGGUCUUCAUGUUUCUGCCUCUGAAUUGCUGGGAUUAAAAGGCAUACACCACCAUGUCAGGUCAGCCCGUGUUCAUUUUGACAACCCACUCUCCCCCCCUCUUGUGACAAGAAUAGAGCAUCGUGACUGAGAGCUCACAGCUGCUAUGCUGGUCUGCUCCGGUGUAAAUGACUGUGUUCCCACAAAGUGACAGAUGCAGAGGUCACGGGGUAUCAUCUGGGAGAACGAAGAGCAUUGUAAGAGGCUACAGGAACCAUGGUUGAUACUUCCACCAUAUGAGCACAUGGAGAAGAUUCUGUCUGGAAAAAAUGACACUUGGCGGACACUGCAUCUUAGGUGCCUUGGUCCUGGACUUCCGGGCCUUCUGGAAAAUGAGGACUGAAGCCAUAACAAGCUUCUUCUGUUCACGCCAAAGCCACUGAUCUACUUUGAUGUCAAAUAUCUUCCCAAGGCCCAUGUGUCAAAGCCUUGGUCCCAAAGGUAACAGUACUGGGAAACGAUAGAACUGUUGAGAGACGGGGCCUAGGGGUCAUCAGGUCGUUUGGGCAAGCCCUGAAAGGGAAUUGAGGGUCCUCCCCUCUCUUUUCUUCCAGGCCAGGGAAGGAAUGACUUUGUUCUGUCAUACACUCCGGCUACUGUGCACUGCCUCACCAUAGGACGGAAGCAGCAAUGCCAGUGGGCACAUCGGAAGAGCCAUCUGCUCAAAUGUAUGUCAGACAGGAAAGUGGUCCCAAAUGAAUGAUUCACAACAUUCCUCACGGUGGGUUGAGAUCCAUGCUCAGGGAACGUCGAUUGUGCGUUGGGAGAUGGCAAGAAUGAAGGAUGGGAAAGCUGCGUGCGCGUGGAUGAGCCGCUCGGCUCUGGGGAGACUUCUGGGUGUGAACCCCGGCUCUACCAACGCUCUCCGAAUAAUCUCGUCAGCUUUAUAUCCCCGUGUCUCCGUUUCUUCAUCUGUAGAACGAGGGAUAAAAUGAUUGCUUGCCAUGCGCAGGGCCUUGAGGUUGAGCCUCAGCUCCCCACAGAAUAGUGAUAAUUGAUAUAAUUAAUAGUAAUAAUGCUAAUACUACUAAUGACAGCAGCACUGACUCUGUAGGGUUGCUGUGUUAGCUUUCUGCGUCAGUCACUAAAAUGUCUACCAGAGAAACGUCAACCAGUAGGGGAGGAGGGAUUUUUUUGCUUAGUCCGAGAACGGCUCUUCCCAUCCGCCUCAGUCCCCCCUUGCGGGAGCUCUCCUAGGCUGACUUCCGUCGAAAUCCAAAAGCUCUCCCUGGGCCUUGAUCCCCACAGUGUUUCUCUCCUUGUGUCUCUGUCUCCUCAAAUCUCUCUCUGCCUCUGCCCCCUGGCUCUACUGACCCAGCGUCCAGUCAACAGCUCUCCUUCCCUCUGCGGCCAUAACAUCUUGGUUUUGAUUUAGUUCCUGUCACAGCUUGAGAGGUUUACGAUUCUAAUACAGAUGACCUUGAUCGGGAAGCAUGCCAGGUCUUCCUCUGCAGGCCAGGCUCAUCGGCGGAGCUGCUCACUGACUCCCAGACCAGGGCUGAGCGAGGCAGCCGAUGGCCGGGCACAGGACAGUGAUGGUGGGCUGGAAUCCUGGGAACACAUGCUUUGGGAUGUGGCCCCUGUUGUAAAGCUCCUAGCGGCUGCUCCUCAUUGUCCACGAGACCAGCUCAUUCUACAGGGAAAGAGCACUUGGUAGAAAGAACUGGAAAUGGAGACGCAUUUGCCAAGCACAAUGAAUCAAUACCAGGAUGUGAGGAAGCCCAGGACGGGGAGUGGAGAUGCGUUAUGAGGAAAUGCGCCGUGUGGACGAAGUCCAGGGUAAUCCCACUGGUCACUUGUAGUACUCCGUAAGCACUAAGUGCAGAAGUGCUCUUUGGGGCAUUUCCCGGAGGCUAAGAGGAGGAACUACAGGAUGUCCACGGGCUGGGGAGGCUCGGUGGCAAAGUGGUUGCCUAGGCAAUGCAAGGCCCUGGAUUCAAACCCCUACAGAAGGGGCUUGGGGACCCACAGCUUCAUGGCAGAGUGCCCAGAUACACCACUGGGAGUAAACAGGUCUCUUCAAGUGACCAUAGGAAAGCCAGGCUCUGUGACACAUGUCUGGAAUCCCAGGCCUGGGAAGUUUGAGGCAAACUCCAGGCCACUCUGGGCUACAAUGUGAGAUCUAUCUUCAAACAGACACAACAAAGAGAAUCCCACAGUGAUGGGGACAGCCCUCAGCCCGCGGUGAUGAUGGGGACAGUUCUCAGCAACAACAAAGUUGAAGAAUUAGAGCCCAGGCCAUGGUCCAGGCCCUGUUCCGUUCUCUUCCCGGUGCAGAACCUCUCUCUCCAGAAUUGACCUUUUGUGUGUAUACUAAUUUCAUGGCUAUCCCGGGUCAGCCCCCAAAGCUGCGUGACUUAGAGGGAGGAGCCAGAGAGACUUCUGGGCUCUCCCAGUUGUCCUGUGCGAGGGCUUGCUCAGUGCUUCUCAGCCUUCCUGACAAUGUGACCCUUGAAUGCAGUUCCUCACGUUGUGAUGACCCCAGCCAUACAGCGAUUGGUACUCCAGAACUGUAAUCCCGCUACCGCUGUGAAUCCUCCUGUGUUUCCCAAUGGCCACAGGCGACCCCUGAGAAAGGGUUGCUCCACCUUGCCAAGGACUUGCGACCCACAGGUUGAGAACUGCUUUAGCUGCUUGUGGAUUUAUCAAGUUUAUUCUGUGACAUCCAGUCCGGAGGCAGCAUGCAGGCUGGAAAACAGCCUGGGCUCUGAAGCAGAUGAGCCUGGUCUCGAGGCCUGGCACCUUCCAGGCUCUCAGACUCCUCUGCUCUUCUGCAGCCUGGGAUUCUGUCUGCUGGGGAGGCUCCGAACCUGCUUUUGUGAAAUGGUGUGAGCGAGCGGAGGCAUGGCCCUUGUUUGCCGUCUACAGCUGGGGAGUGGAACGGGAGACCAAGACUUGACCUGAGGGAGUUGGACCUGAGGGAAGAGCAGGGUGUGGGACAGUGGAGAAGCUGUCAGGCUGUCUCUCCUGAUGGUACGGAGUUCAGAAGCAGGGGUG